rnacentral:lncRNA from 1 species
UGUUUUUUUUACUCCUAGGUUUUUCCACGUUAAAUUUUUUUAGCCACGUGUGCAUGUUGUUUCUGUUUAUUCUGUUGCUUACCUGUUGGUUGAACUAGUCCUCAAAAUUCAUUACAAGUUGAGGAGGUUGUAUUGUGCAUAAUGGUUGCGUCGAUGAAUUGGUGCAUUGCUUUGUUGUUUUCAUUGCUCAUCAAAGUGGCACAAGAAAGUUGUCCAAGGCAUAGUUUUCAUGGACUCCAUAGCCCACCAAGCAAAACACAUACGACCAACUAAAACAAAAAGUUCCAUUAAAAAGUGUUUUACAUUUUCCACACGGUUUCAUUUUUAGAGGAAAUAGUAGGUGAAUUAACCUAUUGGCUAAUGCAUAUUUUUCAUUAGAUUAUGUACAUUACUAAUAAAUAAAAACUACAAGGACUGGCAAGACUGGCCAGCCAGCUAGGCGGGUCACAAGGUUUUCUCCUAGUUUGCAACAAACCUUCUCCAGCCAGCUAUGGGGAUCACAAGAUUUUCUCAUAGCUUUGCGACAAACCUUCUCUGGGAAUAUAAGGUUUUCAUGAGGCUGAUCAUGAGCAAGCAUCAUUAAAAAAACAAUUUGGCAUAGAAAGUCUCAAAUUCAAGAUCUUCACCCACACCAAAAGGACCAGCAUGGCAGCUAAGUUACAUUUUUAGAGGACACUUGGCAUAAGCUAGAAUUCUGCUCCCUUAAAAAGCAUGCCUUGUUCAAAGUCAUUAGCAUCAAACAGCACUGCCCAUUUUCAGGCUAAUCAUUUUUGCUUUUGAUAGACUCACCGAUUCAGCAUUACUAGCCUACAACUCGACUCUUUGAAGCCGUGCAGCAAUAUUUAAACGUCACUACAACUUCUAGUUUACGGACUAUAUACCAAUGUGUAGUGACUUGAAGAUGUGGUUUAAAUUAAAGCAUAAGCAAGAUUAAAAAAAAUCAGGCAACUUAUGUUAGUUUUUUGCAGAUCACAGGCGAAAUGCUGACAGCGGAACAACACAGGGCAAAGCACAAGUUUCGGUUUCCUAGGCAUUAACUCUGCUCAGCUGCAGAACGCCCAAAUGUUGCAAUCAUGAAUGAACUUACUGUGGUACAUCUUCAGUUCGACACAAGAUAAUUUAGGGCUACAGCUACAGCUUAAAGUAGUACAACUACAACUCAAUUUCAACGACGCAACAAAUUUCCUCAGGAAACAGGCUGCAGUGUCAGCACUACUUAUACACACACAUCAGAUGGCCAGAGGGUUUCCAUGGUAGUUCCAUCAUUUCGGUUCAGCUC